rnacentral:rRNA from 1 species
AGAGUUUGAUCCUGGCUCAGAUUGAACGCUGGCGGAAUGCUUUACACAUGCAAGUCGAACGAUGAAGUCUAGCUUGCUAGACGGAUUAGUGGCGAACGGGUGAGUAAUAUAUCGGAACGUAUCCAUUAAUGGGGGAUAACUAGUCGAAAGAUUGGCUAAUACCGCAUACGUCCUACGGGAGAAAGCUAGGGACCUUCGGGCCUGGUGUUAAUGGAGCGGCCGAUAUCUGAUUAGCUAGUUGGUGAGGUAAAGGCUCACCAAGGCGACGAUCAGUAGCUGGUCUGAGAGGACGACCAGCCACACUGGAACUGAGACACGGUCCAGACUCCUACGGGAGGCAGCAGUGGGGAAUUUUGGACAAUGGGCGCAAGCCUGAUCCAGCCAUUCCGCGUGAGUGAAGAAGGCCUUCGGGUUGUAAAGCUCUUUCGCAAGGGAAGAAAACUUACCCUCUAACAUAGGGUGAGGAUGACGGUACCUUGAUAAGAAGCACCGGCUAACUACGUGCCAGCAGCCGCGGUAAUACGUAGGGUGCGAGCGUUAAUCGGAAUUACUGGGCGUAAAGCGUGCGCAGGCUGUUUUGUAAGUCAGAUGUGAAAUCCCUGGGCUCAACCUAGGAACUGCGUUUGAAACUACAAGACUAGAAUAUGUCAGAGGGGGGUAGAAUUCCACGUGUAGCAGUGAAAUGCGUAGAGAUGUGGAGGAAUACCAAUGGCGAAGGCAGCCCCCUGGGAUAAUAUUGACGCUCAUGCACGAAAGCGUGGGGAGCAAACAGGAUUAGAUACCCUGGUAGUCCACGCCCUAAACGAUGUCUACUAGUUGUUGGUGGAGUAAAAUCUAUGAGUAACGCAGCUAACGCGUG